rnacentral:rRNA from 1 species
AUUGAACGCUGGCGGCAUGCCUUACACAUGCAAGUCGAACGGUAACGCGGGGCAACCUGGCGACGAGUGGCGAACGGGUGAGUAAUGCAUCGGAACGUGCCCAGUAGUGGGGGAUAGCCCGGCGAAAGCCGGAUUAAUACCGCAUACGACCUAAGGGUGAAAGGGGGGGAUCGCAAGACCUCUCGCUAUUGGAGCGGCCGAUGUCAGAUUAGGUAGUUGGUGGGGUAAAGGCCUACCAAGCCGACGAUCUGUAGCUGGUCUGAGAGGACGACCAGCCACACGGGGACUGAGACACGGCCCAGACUCCUACGGGAGGGAGCAGGGGGGAAUUUUGGAAAAUGGACGAAAGUCUGAUCCAGCCAUGCCGCGGGCGGGAAGAAGGCCUUCGGGUUGUAAACCGCUUUUGUCAGGGAAGAAAUCUUCUGGGUUAAUACCUCGGGAGGAUGACGGUACCUGAAGAAUAAGCACCGGCUAACUCCGUGCCAGCCGCCGCGGUAA